rnacentral:rRNA from 1 species
GAUGAACGCUGGCGGCGUGCCUAAUACAUGCAAGUCGAGCGAACAGACGAGGAGCUUGCUCCUUCGACGUUAGCGGCGGACGGGUGAGUAACACGUAGGUAACCUACCUAUAAGACUGGGAUAACUUCGGGAAACCGGAGCUAAUACCGGAUAAUAUUUCGAACCGCAUGGUUCGAUAGUGAAAGAUGGCUUUGCUAUCACUUAUAGAUGGACCUGCGCCGUAUUAGCUAGUUGGUAAGGUAACGGCUUACCAAGGCAACGAUACGUAGCCGACCUGAGAGGGUGAUCGGCCACACUGGAACUGAGACACGGUCCAGACUCCUACGUGAGGCAGCAGUAGGGAAUCUUCCGCAAUGGGCGAAAGCCUGACGGAGCAACGCCGCGUGAGUGAUGAAGGUCUUCGGAUCGUAAAACUCUGUUAUUAGGGAAGAACAAACGUGUAAGUAACUGUGCACGUCUUGACGGUACCUAAUCAGAAAGCCACGGCUAACUACGUG